GGAUUAUUCUUUAUAGCUUGCUAUGGAGGAUAAUUAGUGGCAGACGGGUGAGUAAUGCAUAGGAAUCUACCUAGUAGUAUGGGAUAGCCACUAGAAAUGGUGGGUAAUACUGUAUAAUCCCUGUGGGGGAAAGAUUUAUCGCUAUUAGAUGAGCCUAUGUUAGAUUAGCUAGUUGGUAGGGUAAAGGCCUACCAAGGCGAUGAUCUAUAGCUGGUCUGAGAGGAUGAUCAGCCACACUGGAACUGAGAUACGGUCCAGACUCCUACGGGAGGCAGCAGUGGGGAAUAUUGGACAAUGGGCGCAAGCCUGAUCCAGCUAUGCCGCGUGAGUGAGGAAGGCCUUAGGGU
rnacentral:rRNA from 1 species